AAGUCGUAACAAGGUCUCCGUUGGUGAACCAGCGGAGGGAUCAUUACUGAGUUCUACAAAACUCCCAACCCUUUGUGAAUUAUACCUUAGUUGCCUCGGCGUCGAGCGAGUCACCUACCCGGGAGCUACCCUGGAGUCACCUACCCUGUAAGACCUACCCUGUAGGACCUACCCUGUAGACGGCUACCCUGGAGCUACCCUGUAGUUGCACUUUUGCGUCGCCGGUGGACUACCAAACUCUUAUAUGUAUAGUGUAUCUCUGAAUUCUUAACAAAAUUAGUUAAAACUUUCAACAACGGAUCUCUUGGUUCUG
rnacentral:misc_RNA from 1 species